GACGAACGCUGGCGGCGUGCUUAACACAUGCAAGUCGAACGGAAAGGCCCUGCUUUUGUGGGGUGCUCGAGUGGCGAACGGGUGAGUAACACAUGAGUAACCUGCCCUUGACUUUGGGGUAACUUCAGGAAACUGGGGCUAAUACCGGGUAGAAGCUCCUGCUGCAUGGUGGGGGUUGGAGAGUUUCGGCGGUGGGGGAUGGACUCGCGGCUUAUCAGCUGGUUGGUCGGGUAGUGGCUUACCAAGGCUAUGACGGGUAGCCGGCCUGAGAGGGUGGACGGGCACAAGGGUACUGAGAUACGGCGCAGACGCCAAUGGGAGGCAGUAGUGGGGAAUAUGGCAGAAUGGGGGGAAGCCUGAGGCAGCAACGCCGCGUGCGGGAUGACGGCCUUCGGGUUGUAAACCGCUUUCGCAUGUGACGAAGCGUGAGUGACGGUAAUGGGUAAAGAAGCACCGGCUAACUACGUG
rnacentral:rRNA from 1 species